GUCGAGCGAACAGAUAAGGAGCUUGCUCCUUUGACGUUAGCGGCGGACGGGUGAGUAACACGUGGGUAACCUACCUAUAAGACUGGAAUAACUCCGGGAAACCGGGGCUAAUGCCGGAUAAUAUUUAGAACCGCAUGGUUCUAAAGUGAAAGAUGGUUUUGCUAUCACUUAUAGAUGGACCCGCGCCGUAUUAGCUAGUUGGUGGGGUAAUGGCUNACCAAGGCAACGAUACGUAGCCGACCUGAGAGGGUGAUCGGCCACACUGGAACUGAGACACGGUCCAGACUCCUACGGGAGGCAGCAGUAGGGAAUCUUCCGCAAUGGGCGAAAGCCUGACGGAGCAACGCCGCGUGAGUGAUGAAGGUCUUCGGAUCGUAAAACUCUGUUAUUAGGGAAGAACAAAUGUGUAAGUAACUGUGCACGUCUUGACGGUACCUAAUCAGAAAGCCACGGCUAACUACGUGCCAGCAGCCGCGGUAAUACGUAGGUGGCAAGCGUUAUCCGGAAUUAUUGGGCGUAAAGCGCGCGUAGGCGGUUUCUUAAGUCUGAUGUGAAAGCCCACGGCUCAACCGUGGAGGGUCAUUGGAAACUGGGAAACUUGAGUGCAGAAGAGGAAAGUGGAAUUCCAUGUGUAGCGGUGAAAUGCGCAGAGAUAUGGAGGAACACCAGUGGCGAAGGCGACUUUCUGGUCUGUAACUGACGCUGAUGUGCGAAAGCGUGGGGAUCAAACAGGAUUAGAUACCCUGGUAGUCCACGCCGUAAACGAUGAGUGCUAAGUGUUAGGGGGUUUCCGCCCCUUUAGUGCUGCAGCUAACGCAUUAAGCACUCCNCCCUGGGGAGUACGACCGCAAGGUUGAAACUCAAAGGAAUUGACGGGNACCCNCACAAGCGGUGGAUCAUGUGGUUUAAUU
rnacentral:rRNA from 1 species